UGAGAAACAGCAGAGACCAGUGGGGCUGGAGAGGCUAAUGGGGAUGAUAGGAGCUCAGAGCAGAAUGUUGAUGGGAGGAAAUCAUGUUGGCCUCUAGGCCAGAGUAAGGAUAUUAAAUUAAUAGUCAUUUCCACUCCAGUUUCAGCUCUCAAAAAGAAACAAAGUUUGAUGGUGAACAAAAUGCAAAGAUCAGGAGGACCCAGAGCCCAGAAAGCAAUAUAGAGGGGGAAUCCCUGGGAAGAGAAGAGGGCACGGCGCUGAGAGAACUUCUCCUUACUGAGCCUUCAUUUCUACUCCCAGAGAAGUCCAACAGCUCAUCCUUGACCCAGAAGAAGACCAGUCAUAGCUGAUCCUUCAAGAAGCAAGAAAGAAGACAAACAGAUGAACGAUAAAGACAACCAGGUAACCUGGUGGUGCAAAGGAUUCACCUCCUAGCUUGUGGAUUUAGGAAUCUAUGCUGGGAGAUCUGGGACAAUGACAAAGAUGGGAGUGGUGAUUUGCAGGGCAGGGCUUCAGGGGCAGGGGUCAGAGCGAGGCAGGGGGCAUUGAGUGUCUGAAACUAAGC
rnacentral:lncRNA from 1 species